rnacentral:lncRNA from 1 species
UUAAUCUUAGUAUUUCCAGCAGUGAUGAUAGUUCCAGGUACUUUGUAGGAACUUGAUAAUUUCUUUUGCAUGAAUUAAUAUCUUAAUGCAUUAAUGGCAGAAUAUUUCUGUUAUGAUUUCUUUUUCCCUAAAAGUAUAAAACAAAACAAUAUUCUGUGAAUAAUAAUCAUGGUAAGGAUUAGCCCAUACUUCUUUUUUCAUGCCACCUAAUUCUGAAUGUUUCAGGUAGAACAGAAGUCCCAGGAGUCAGUAUCAUUUAAAGAUGUGACUGUGGGCUUCACCCAGGAGGAGUGGCAGCACCUGGACCCUAGUCAGAGGGCUCUGUAUAGAGAUGUGAUGCUGGAGAACUACAGCAACCUUGUCUCAAUGCAAUGUGUAAUAAUCACAUUUACCCUAAUGUGAUUAUUUAUCUUUUGUGUUAUAAACAAUCCAGUUAUACUCUUUUAGUCACUUCAAAAUGUACAAUUAAAUUUGACUAUAGUGACCCUG